GCAACUCGACUCCAUGAAGUCGGAAUCGCUAGUAAUCGUGGAUCAGAAUGCCACGGUGAAUACGUUCCCGGGCCUUGUACACACCGCCCGUCACACCAUGGGAGUGGGUUGCAAAAGAAGUAGGUAGCUUAACCUUCGGGAGGGCGCUUACCACUUUGUGAUUCAUGACUGGGGUGAAGUCGUAACAAGGUAACCGUAGGGGAACCUGCGGUUGGAUCACCUCCUUA
rnacentral:rRNA from 1 species